rnacentral:lncRNA from 1 species
GUUAUACCUUGUGUGCAUACAUAUCAUGUAUAGGCUAGUUGAUCUAUGCUAUGGCAUGAGUUUAGUGGCCAUUUCCAUGGUGGCUUCAGCCAUUGACACCAUAGCUAGGAUGGUCGGAAUGUUGUUAACAAUGCAAGCAUGGUGCUUGGAUUACUUAGCUUAUUUGGAUAUGAGUUUGCCUCGUGGAUUCCUAGGGGUAGGUGGUAGGUGGUGACAGCCUUGUCCGUCCUUUGUAAUCCCCCAUGUUCGGGUAUGCUGUAGGAGUUCGUAAAUUAGCAGUAACUACGCCGACAGAUUGGUAGGGUACUGUCUCCCCGUGUGUGCCUAGGU